GCAAGAGCUGUUGGAACUGGAUGGACGCCUUGAUGAUGAUUCCUUUCAUGAAUUACUCAUUUGCAAGUCAAAAGCCUCUCCUGUGUGGGUAGAACGAAUGCAAAGGAUUGUGCGAAAAGAAUCAUGCGGCGACUCCUGACCAACAAGAUUGCUCGGAACUAUAACUGGAAAGGACAAAAGGGAGAGAUGUGUGCUUUCAAGGGACUGAAGGUGCAGGCCAUGAUCUACAAAGCUGUACGGAAGAACCGUGGGUGUAUGGAGGCUUCCGAUAAAGUUAGUGCAGGAGCCAUCACAGAGUGGAGACCAAUGCUUCAGCAGACAGUGCUGUUCUACCUGUCCGUCGUCCUUCCCGCCCGAGCUGCCAUCCGCAUCAGAGAGCGACUACUCCUCUCUCAGUGACAGAGAAGUCUAGAGAUAUACACGUAAUGUCUACGAUGACUGCAAUGCCACCUACAGCCGCCGUCCUGGUCACGUAGCCAUUUGCUUCCCACGGCAACUAGCAGGCAGUCCAGACAGUCCUUUGCCACUGGAUCGCCCCCACGAUCAAGAGCUGUCUCCCACAUAGGACACCUCUGCGCUCUACCUCAUUGUACUCCUCUACACUGGCAUAUGUCUGCCCCACCUUUCUGCAUGUGGGACCACAGGCUUGUCACCAAGCAACUCUUGACCCCAAUUGGGACGCUUGAUACUUCACCAUUUAAGUUCACACAUGACAUUGCUGUAGAAGAGGUCCUAUCCAAUACAUGGCCUUGGAUGUAGCUGGUGAUUAUCUCUGAUAUUUUGCACAAAUAUCUGAUAGUUUAGAUAUCUGAUGAUUACGAAUAAGAAGGUUUCCGUAUACUCGAAUAAAGGCAUGUGGAUCUGAUAGUGUUCUAUAUACCUUGUUCUUAAAGCCUUUUCCCCAGAUGUACAGGAACCUUUGUUCAGCCUUGUUUUACAGUGUGGAAAAUCUCAUAAGGCUGGUUAAUUUGACUGAUGUGUCCAUUGUAGAAGGUUGGUGAUGAUAAUUUGAUCGUUGUUAUGUACAGAAGGAUACCUGUAUUUCUUGUGUAUUUUGUGCUACAUCUAGAUGGAUUAACCAUAUACUAUAUCUUUUCUUACAUCUAAAGCUCUAUUAGUUUAGUUUUAGUUUAAUUAUUCCUUGGGAAUCUUUAUGGAGCUUAACACCUAUCCUUGAAACAUUUUAAAUUGAACUGUUUAAAAGUGUUACUUUAAUAACAUUCCUUUGCUUUGACUUAACAGUGGUUAAUUAAUUCCUCUGAUUGUUCUCUGUUUCUCAUCUUUAUCACAUAUGGUCAAUGCUUUUGUUGUACAUCUAUAGUUAAUGCUUAAUAAUAAUUGGAAUGAUAUGUCCCUUGUAGUAGGGUAAGAAGAUGAUAAUUAGCAUAUUGUUAUCUACAUAGGGGUAACUGUCUUUUUUUGGUGUAUUUUGUACAUCAUCCAAUUGUAUUUACAAUUCACUAUUUUUUAGUAAAUGUAAAUGUCGAUAAGUUUCGUUUUAGUUCAAUUAUUUCUUGGCACUCUGCACGGAUAACAGUGCCGCACAACCUCACCUUUAAGUACUGAAAUGUGAAAUAUUUAAAAGUAUUAAUUUAAGAAAAGAUCCUAUGCAUUGAUUUGUCAGUGUUUAAUUAAUUCAUAUUCUUGUUCUCUUUUUUGAGUAUCAUUUAUUCAUUUUUGUCACAAAUGGUCACCAUUUUGUACUUGCUAUUGUAUAAUGUAAAUUUGUCUCCUGGAUGGAUCCACAAUG